rnacentral:rRNA from 1 species
AACGAACGCUGGCGGCAGGCUUAACACAUGCAAGUCGAGCGCCCCGCAAGGGGAGCGGCAGACGGGUGAGUAACGCGUGGGAAUCUACCCAUCUCUACGGAAUAACGCAUGGAAACGUGUGCUAAUACCGUAUACGUCCUUCGGGAGAAAGAUUUAUCGGUGAUGGAUGAGCCCGCGUUGGAUUAGCUAGUUGGUGGGGUAAAGGCCUACCAGGGCGACGAUCCAUAGCUGGUCUGAGAGGAUGAUCAGCCACACUGGGACUGAGACACGGCCCAGACUCCUACGGGAGGCAGCAGUGGGGAAUAUUGGACAAUGGGCGCAAGCCUGAUCCAGCCAUGCCGCGUGAGUGAUGAAGGCCCUAGGGUUGUAAAGCUCUUUCACCGGUGAAGAUAAUGACGGUAACCGGAGAAGAAGCCCCGGCUAACUUCGUGCCAGCCGCCGCCGUAAGAC